UACGUAGGGUGCGAGCGUUAAUCGGAAUUACUGGGCGUAAAGCGUGCGCAGGCGGUUUUGUAAGCCAGAUGUGAAAUCCCCGGGCUUAACCUGGGAAUGGCAUUUGGGACUGCAAGGCUUGAGUGCGGCAGAGGAGACUGGAAUUCCUGGUGUAGCAGUGAAAUGCGUAGAUAUCUGGAGGAACACCGGUGGCGAAGGCGGCGUUCUGGACUGUUUCUGACACUGAGGAACGAAAGCCAGGGGAGCAAACGGG
rnacentral:rRNA from 1 species